UACAGAGGGUGCAAGCGUUGUUCGGAAUUAUUGGGCGUAAAGCGCGUGUAGGCGGCUUUGCAAGUCGGGUGUGAAAUCCCCCCAGCUUAACUGGGGAAGUGCGCUCGAAACUGCAGAGCUCGAGUACCGGAGAGGAUGGCGGAAUUCCCCAAGUAGAGGUGAAAUUCGUAGAUAUGGGGAGGAACACCGGUGGCGAAGGCGGCCAUCUGGACGGUAACUGACGCUGAGACGCGAAAGCGUGGGUAGCAAACAGG
rnacentral:rRNA from 1 species